UAUAUAUAUAUAUCUGCAGGGAUCAAUGAAUAAUUGCCAGCAAAAUGGUGCCAAUUAUUUUUUGCAGCCGCGCCAUUGCGUCAUCCUAAAAUCGACUGGUCAGCAUGCACAAAUGACUUAAUUUUCAGUCUAGAAGGUUUCCCUGUUUGCCAGCUAGUUUCCUGGUUGGCCUGCCUUAUAUAAUUGGAAUGUUAAAAGAGCUGUGUACAUUGAAUUUGUGUGGCUGCUACAGUGAGUGUUGCCCUAUGAAAUCCUUGAGAGUAUCUUAGUUGAUGUGUAAUAUAGAGUGUUUUUUCUAAUGGGGCCCUUAUCUUUUUGUCAAGUGGUUGAACCUUUGGCUUCGUAGAGUCUUGGAUGUCAUUGACUUUAGGUGUGUGUGCACUAAUACUAAUGGUCCUGAACUA